UGGGGAAUUUUGCGCAAUGGACGAAAGUCUGACGCAGCAACGCCGCGUGGGUGAAGAAGGCUUUUGGGUCGUAAAGCCCUUUUCUGAGGGAAGAGCAAAGACGGUACCUCAGGAAUAAGCACCGGCUAACUCCGUGCCAGCAGCCGCGGUAAUACGGAGGGUGCAAGCGUUGUUCGGAUUUACUGGGCGUAAAGGGCGUGUAGGCGGAUGUGCAAGCUGGGUGUGAAAGGCCAGGGCUCAACCCGGGACGGUCUCCCAGAACUGCACGUCUAGAGAGAGUCAGAGGCAGGUGGAAUUCCUGGUGUAGAGGUGAAAUUCGUAGAGAUCAGGAGGAACACCGGCGGCGAAGGCGGCCUGCUGGGGCUUCUCUGACGCUGAGGCGCGAAAGCGUGGGGAGCAAACA
rnacentral:rRNA from 1 species